UGCCAAGCUGCCACACUGCCCACUAAAACCACAAAUGGGGAUUUCCAUUCAAAUAGUUGCAAAAUAUUCUUUGAUACUUCAGACUCUAUUAAUGGUAGGAUUGUUUCUUCAGCGAAACAGAACAAUCCUGCCCUCUGUAAUGAAAAGAAAAUUAAAUUAAAUGUUAAAAGAAGGCAGUUUGUUGUUUGUCUUUAGACAAUAGACACCAGACACCAGGAGGUAAUGAAAUAAAUGCAAAGAGAAAAGGCCACCAGGCCUGUCUGGCUCCAAGACACCAGCCUCAUUGACUGAAAUAUUCUAUUAAGCAAACAGAUGGGGGAGUGGUUUGUUACUGAUUUCUCCAUAAAAGUGAAACAUGAAAUGUAAUAUUCCCGGAAGAAUAA
rnacentral:lncRNA from 10 species